rnacentral:lncRNA from 1 species
UCGCGUCCCCCCCCCAACGCGCUGCCUCCCCGUCCCAUUUGUGUCCUCUGGCCAUCGCCCUCUCUGGUAACGCCCAUCACUGCAAAGACCCUUUUCCUUCAUCGGCGUUUGCUGUUCUUCCUGCCAGUGCGUGUUGCUUUCACUUACACUUGCCACAGCCAGCCUCGUGAGUGCCUAGCCUAUUGGAUAUCACUGUCACCUACACAGGACAGUCAUUACCUUUCUAUUAAUACUUUGUUUUUUAAUUUCACAUUAAUUUCCAUAUUGUAUAAACAACUGGAAAAAACUUGAGCCCCUGCCCCUGUAUAAUCAUGUGCACGUCUCUGUUCUAGCUCUAAGGUGAAUCUUCACUGCUCAUGUUCUCCUCAGAAGCAGUCACCUCACUCCCCUCAGGUUACUGUACACAUGCACCAACUGCCUGCUUCAGGUUUGGAUGGAGCUUCAUGGUUGUCUUUUGGAGUAAUGACCAGUCAAGUUGUGUUUGAAAUUUGAUUUUUUUCAGGGGCAAAAGGAGCCUCUGCAUUCUUGUCAAAUAUGUAAAUAGCAUGUUUUUGCAGGUGCUAAAAACCAGACUCUGAGUGUGUGUGUGUGCGUGUGUGUGUGUGUCUGUGUGUGUGUGUGUGUGUGUGUGUGUGCGUUCAAGUCACAUGACAUAUUUAACCGGAUGUAGCUGCAAGACGGAGCCUCGUUGACUCUCCGUUUCAACUUAUCUCAAAAGUGAGGACCUCAACCUAUAUACCAGUUUUUAAAUUGUGUUGAUAGGCCAAAUAAAACCAGAGUUAUGAUAAAUUAUGUCCGCGAUACUUUUUUUCUGCUUAUUUUGAUCACGUUCGGCGCUCGAUCGCGCUGUAUGAGACAGGAAAACAUAGCAUGCAGACAUUAGCGACAGGUCUUACAGGCGGAAAAGGCUUGCCAAAAGAAAAAAAAAACACACCACAACAUCUCUCCUAUUGGUGGAAAACUUCACCACAACAACCAAUCCAAAAUUAUAUGGUGACUGAUUGACAAGGGGAGGGCGCUUACGUUCUUCCUGCAACAUGAGAAGGGAGGGAGGGACUCUCAGCAGGGAUGCAGUCUGGGACACGUAGUUGCAAACCUAGCGACUUUGUUGUUAGAUUCAAUGACUUUUCAGACCCCCUAACGACUUUUUUUAGAAAGAAAGGGACUUUUAUCUACUUCUUCUGGAGUUUAGAGACUCUGACAUGAAGCAGGCUUUCCUUACUGAGGAGUUAGCAACGCUGCUAAGGGUGCAGAGCCACACAUGCGCUCAGAGCUCUGCAUGGGAGACUGAAGCUGACAGAGCUGCAGCAGUUAGCAGGUUUCACCCUCAGAGACCACCAGGGGUUCAUGUUGAGGCAUUUUUUUUUUUUUUUUUUUUGUGCCAUAGACACUGUCAGCACAAUCUGCAGUUACACUAACAAAAAUGCUGCAAAAAACAAAGAAUUGUGGAAAAAUUACACAUGGACUGACAUAGAGGAGGAUCUACACAAGUAUUUUACAUCAUGUUUUACAUCAUGCAUCAUUUACAUCAUGUUUUUUUGUAGUGGCAUAAAUAAAAAGUGACAUUUGUGAGACUAUACAGUGUUUUGUAAAUAAUUUUACAAAGAACGCCUGGGCCAUUGCCUGCAUUUUGAUGUAAAUAGAGGUAAAUCACUAUGUUCUUUGUUAAAAAUUUGCAUAUGUUUUGAAGUUUACAAUUUUUAUUUGAAGUUUAAGUUUUAAAAACAGUUCAUCACACAUAUUUGUGGUUUUCACAGUAAAAAUGUUACUUUUUUCCACUCGGAUUUUAUGUUUUGUGUGUGAAUUUGGGUCCACUGUGUAAAUUCAGUAUGUCAACAUGAUAAAAUAACUGUAAAUUCGCACAGGUGAGGUUGUGCUGAAAAAAAUGAUACCAGGCAAGGCACGUGAUUGUCAAAUUUUGUGUCAAUAUGACAAAGCGUAUAGGCGUGAAUCUCAACAAUAUGUAUUUUCACCUUAAGGGACAAGAAAAAAUGGACUUUUUUCUCCUGCCAUGGGGGGCGCUCUUUUGGGGAGUAAAAAUUCCUUCACAAAUGUGUUGAUGGCUGGACAUUGCAUCAUCCUAGAAAACUUGGAGGCCAGUGAGGACAAAAAUAAAAAGUUAUAAGACUUUUAAAUAUGUGGAUUUUAGGGUUAUCUUUGGCGCCCCCUAGAACCUAAACCGUGGGGUGCAGCGUCAUGAUUUUGAUAACUUUUAAUGGCCAUGGGGUGUAGAUUGGCCUGAGCAAAUGUGGUGCCGGUGGAACGAAAGCCUUAGGAGGAGUUAGCCACAUUCCAAUGUGUGCGGAUCGGCAAAAAAUGCGGAAUAACCCUUUAACCGUACAUUUGACAGAUACGCGCGCAUUGACUUUUUCGUAGAUCUUAUUGAGUUACAUGUGUGUGUCAAUUUUUGUGUCAUUUUGACAAAGCGUAUAGGCGUGACAGUCAACAAUGUGUAUUUUCACCUUAGGGGACAAGAAAAAAUUGACUUUUUUCUCCUGCCAUGGGGGGGCGCUCUUUUGGGGAGUAAAAAUUCCUUCACAAAUGUGUUGAUGGCUGGACAUUGCAUCAUCCUAGAAAACUUGGAGGCCAGUGAGGACAAAAAUAAAAAGUUAUAAGACUUUUAAAUAUGUGGAUUUUAGUGUUAUCUUUGGCGCCCCCUAGAACCUAAACCUUGGGGUGCAGCGUCAUGAUUUUGAUAACUUUUAAUGGCCACGGGGUGUAGAUUGGCCUGAGCAAAUGUGGUGCCGGUGGAACGAAAGCCUUCGGAAGAGUUAGCGAAAUUCCAAUGUGUGCGGAUCGGCAAAAAAUGCGAAAUAACCCUUUAACCGUAAUUUUGACAGAUACGGUCGCACUGACUUUUUUGUAGAUCCUAUUGAGAUACAUAUGUGUGUCAAUUUUUGUGUCAAUAUGACAAAGCGUACAGGCGUGACAGUCAAUAGUGUGAAUUUCCACCUUAGGGGGCGCUAUGGAGCCAUUUUGCAUUUUAUUGUUUGGGCGACUUCAGAAUAUCGAAUUUUUCACCAGGCCCGGUCGUCCUGCCAAAUUUCAUGAGUUUUCGCCAGUGGGAAGUGGGCCAUUUUCCAGUUCAAAGGGGAGGAAAAAGAAGAAAGAAAGAAAGAAAGAAAGAAACAAAGAAAAACCACUUGGGGAAUAAUAGGGCCUACGCCCGGCUGCUCUGCAGCUGGCUCGGGCCCUAAAGAAAGAAAGAAACAAAGAAAAACCACUUGGGGAAUAAUAGGGCUCUCGCAGCUGCUUAGCAGCUACGCUCGGGCCCUAACUAGGACCCCGUUGGGGCACUGGCGGGCCCGAGCUGUGUCGCGUCCCCCCCCCAACGCGCUGCCUCCCCGUCCCAUUUGUGUCCUCUGGCCAUCGCCCUCUCUGGUAACGCCCAUCACUGCAAAGACCCUUUUCCUUCAUCGGCGUUUGCUGUUCUUCCUGCCAGUGCGUGUUGCUUUCACUUACACUUGCCACAGCCAGCCUCUUGAGUGCCUAGCCUAUUGGAUAUCACUGUCACCUACUCAGGACAGUCAUUACCUUUCUAUUAAUACUUUGUUUUUUAAUUUCACAUUAAUUCCCAUAUUGUAUAAACAACUGGAAAAAACUUGAGCCCCUGCCCCUGUAUAAUCAUGUGCACGUCUCUGUUCUAGCUCUAAGGUGAAUCUUCACUGCUCAUGUUCUCCUCAGAAGCAGUCACCUCACUCCCCUCAGGUUACUGUACACAUGCACCAACUGCCUGCUUCAGGUUUGGAUGGAGCUUCAUGGUUGUCUUUUGGAGAAAUGACCAGUCAAGUUGUGUUUGAAAUUUGAUUUUUUUCAGGGGCAAAAGGAGCCUCUGCAUUCUUGUCAAAUAUGUAAAUAGCAUGUUUUUGCAGGUGCUAAAAACCAGACUCUGAGUGUGUGUGUGUGUGCGUGUGUGUGUGUGUGUGUGUGUGUGUGUGUGUGUGUGUGUGUGUGUGUGUGUGUGUGUGUGUGCGUUCAAGUCACAUGACAUAUUUAACCGGAUGUAGCUGACAGAGCUGCAGCAGUUAGCAGGUUUCACCCUCAGAGACCACCAGGGGUUCAUGUUGAGGCAUUUUCAGUUUUUUUUUUUUUUUUUGCCAUAGACACUGUCAGCACAAUCUGCAGUUACACUAACAAAAAUGCUGCAAAAAACAAAGAAUUAUGGAAAAAUUACACAUGGACUAACAUAGAGGAGGAUCUACACAAGUUUUUUACAUCAUGUUUUACAUCAUGCAUCAUUUACAUCAUGUUUUUUUGUAGUGGCAUAAAUAAAAAGUGACAUUUGUGAGACUAUACAGUGUUUUGUAAAUAAUUUUACAAAGAACACCUGGGCCAUUGCCUGCAUUUUGAUGUAAAUAGAGGUAAAUUACUAUGUUCUUUGUUAAAAAUUUGCAUAUGUUUUGAAGUUUACAAUUUUUAUUUGAAGUUUAAGUUUUAAAAACAGUUCAUCACACAUAUUUGUGGUUUUCACAGUAAAAACGUUACUUUUUUCCACUCGGAUUUUAUGUUUUGUGUGUGAAUUUGGGUCCAAUGUGUAAAUAUAGUAUGUCAAAAUGAUAAAAUAACUGUAAAUUGACACAGGUGAGGUUGUGCUGAAAAAAAUGAUACCAGGCAAGGCAAGGUAAAAAUUUUGUAAGAGGAAAUAUAAAGGUAAAAUCUAAAGUAGUCAAAAACGGCCAAUAGUGACUCACAGACUCCACAGACAAGUCCCUUUGGCGCCACUCAGUGGGCAAAACUACUUUGUCUACUGUAAUGUAUAUUUGGGUCAUCUUUGGCGCCCCCUAAAACGUAAACCGUGGGGUGCAGCGUCAUGAUUUUUACAACUUUGAAUGGCCAUGGAGUGUAGAUUGGC